rnacentral:misc_RNA from 1 species
CCAAUUUUAGCGAACUUGAUCCUUUGGAUUAUGGUCUCGCAAAAAUACUGUAUUUAAAACCCCACCCUUCAUAAAUGAAUAAUCUACUAUAUAAAUAAUAAAUAAAGA